rnacentral:rRNA from 1 species
UAGGAUAGGUGGGAGGCUUUGAAGUGUGGACGCCAGUCUGCAUGGAGCCGACCUUGAAAUACCACCCUUUAAUGUUUGAUGUUCUAACGUGGACCCGUUACCCGGGUUGCGGACAGUGUCUGGUGGGUAGUUUGACUGGGGCGGUCUCCUCCUAAAGAGUAACGGAGGAGCACGAAGGUUGGCUAAUCCUGGUCGGACAUCAGGAGGUUAGUGCAAUGGCAUAAGCCAGCUUGACUGCGAGCGUGACGGCGCGAGCAGGUGCGAAAGCAGGUCAUAGUGAUCCGGUGGUUCUGAAUGGAAGGGCCAUCGCUCAACGGAUAAAAGGUACUCCGGGGAUAACAGGCUGAUACCGCCCAAGAGUUCAUAUCGACGGCGGUGUUUGGCACCUCGAUGUCGGCUCAUCACAUCCUGGGGCUGAAGUAGGUCCCAAGGGUAUGGCUGUUCGCCAUUUAAAGUGGUACGCGAGCUGGGUUUAGAACGUCGUGAGACAGUUCGGUCCCUAUCUGCCGUGGGCGCUGGAGAACUGAGGGGGGCUGCUCCUAGUACGAGAGGACCGGAGUGGACGCAUCACUGGUGUUCGGGUUGUCAUGCCAAUGGCACUGCCCGGUAGCUAAAUGCGGAAGAGAUAAGUGCUGAAAGCAUCUAAGCACGAAACUUGCCCCGA